UGAACUUGAUGAUGUUGUUGUAGUUCAUUCUUAUGAGGAUGACAUACCUGCAUGAUCUCAUAAGACAAGGCUAACUGUUCUGAAUGUUCCUCCUAUGGGUUUGUUCUACCCAACACUUUUGAUUCCUGAUUUAUAUCCUCCUCCACCCUGUUCUUGGUUUCAUGACUAUGAAGAUAUGCUGGAAGAAACAUGGCAUAUAGAAUUCCCAAGAAGAUCUGACAUGCCAGAUGGUAUCUAUCCUAGCAAAAAUGUUGGUUUACAAAUGUGUGAUAACUA